rnacentral:rRNA from 2 species
UCACAGCUAUAAUGCAAGUCGAGCGAAUGAUGAGGAGCUUGCUCCUCUGAUUUAGCGGCGGACGGGUGAGUAACACGUGGGUAAUCUGCCUGUAAGACGGGGAUAACUCCGGGAAACCGGGGCUAAUACCGGAUAAUAAGAGAAGAAGCAUUUCUUCUUUUUGAAAGUCGGUUUCGGCUGACACUUACAGAUGAGCCCGCGGCGCAUUAGCUAGUUGGUGAGGUAACGGCUCACCAAGGCGACGAUGCGUAGCCGACCUGAGAGGGUGAUCGGCCACACUGGGACUGAGACACGGCCCAGACUCCUACGGGAGGCAGCAGUAGGGAAUCUUCGGCAAUGGGCGAAAGCCUGACCGAGCAACGCCGCGUGAGCGAUGAAGGCCUUCGGGUCGUAAAGCUCUGUUGUUAGAGAAGAACAAGUACGAGAGUAACUGCUCGUACCUUGACGGUACCUAACCAGAAAGCCACGGCUAACUACGUGCCAGCAGCCGCGGUAAUACGUAGGUGGCAAGCGUUAUCCGGAAUUAUUGGGCGUAAAGCGCGCGCAGGCGGUCUCUUAAGUCUGAUGUGAAAGCCCACGGCUCAACCGUGGAGGGUCAUUGGAAACUGGGAGACUUGAGUGCAGGAGAGAAAAGUGGAAUUCCACGUGUAGCGGUGAAAUGCGUAGAGAUGUGGAGGAACACCAGUGGCGAAGGCGGCUUUUUGGCCUGUAACUGACGCUGAGGCGCGAAAGCGUGGGGAGCAAACAGGAUUAGAUACCCUGGUAGUCCACGCCGUAAACGAUGAGUGCUAGGUGUUGGGGGGUUCCACCCUCAGUGCUGAAGUUAACACAUUAAGCACUCCGCCUGGGGAGUACGACCGCAAGGUUGAAACUCAAAGGAAUUGACGGGGGCCCGCACAAGCAGUGGAGCAUGUGGGUUUAAUUCGAAGCAACGCGAGAACCUUACCAGGUCUUGACAUCCUUUGACCACUCUAGAGAUAGAGCUUCCCCUUCCGGGGACAAAGUGACAGGUGGUGCAUGCUUGUCGUCAGCUCGUGUCGUGAGAUGUGGUAGUCCGCAACGAGCGCACCCUUGACCUUAGUUGCCAGCAUUCAGUUUGGGCAACUCUAAGGUGACUGCCGGGUG